UACGUAGGGGGCAAGCGUUGUCCGGAAUCAUUGGGCGUAAAGCGCGUGUAGGCGGCCUUGUAAGUCCGUUCUGAAAGCCCGGGGCUCAACCCCGGGAGGCGGAUGGAUACUGCAAGGCUCGAGUACGGAAGAGGCGAGUGGAAUUCCUGGUGUAGCGGUGGAAUGCGCAGAUAUCAGGAGGAACACCGAUGGCGAAGGCAUCUCGCUGGGACGGUACUGACGCUGAGGCGCGAAAGCGUGGGGAGCGAACGG
rnacentral:rRNA from 1 species